GAUUUAGGGGCCAAUUUCCAGACCAACAACGGACUAUCCACUAGGUUUUGGCUUGAUCACUGGCUGGGCGAUUCCCCCCUUUGGCAAAGCCAUCCCUCCUUAUUCAGGAUCGCCACAGAUACUAACAUCCUAGUUGGGGAGGUGUUACAAGUAGACCCGCCGGCGAUCCACUUUAUGAGGGCCCUAACAAACGAAGAGCGCAUCUCUUGGGACGGGCUGUCCCAGCAAUUAGGCGGCCAUCGCCUUCGGGCGGGGGCUGACACUGUCAAGUGGAGUUUGACAGCAUCCGGGAAAUUUACAGUGAAGUCCUUAUAUAACAAGCUAACUGGAGGGCCAGUGCUUGACAUAGCAAAGGGUCUGUGGAAGGCAGGCCUGCCCCUGAAGAUCAAGAUCUUUAUGUGGCAAAUGCUCAGGAAUAGGCUGCCUACUUCGGACAACAUAGCCAAACGGAACGGUCCGACCGACGGCACAUGCGUGAUCUGUGGGCAAGGGGAAGACGCGAAUCAUGUUUUCUUCCGGUGCCACCUGGCCAGAUGUGGACACCGCUGGGGAAGGAGCGCGAUGCUGAGCGCAUGA
rnacentral:rRNA from 1 species